rnacentral:rRNA from 1 species
UGAAGAAGGCCUGCGGGUUGUAAAGCAUUUUCAGCAAGGAAGAAAAUCUCCGCGUUAAUAGCGCGGGGCCUUGACGUUACUUGCAGAAGAAGCACCGGCUAAUUCCGUGCCAGCAGCCGCGGUAAUACAAGU